AGUGAACGCUGGCGGUAGGCCUAACACAUGCAAGUCGAACGGCAGCACAGUAAGAGCUUGCUCUUACGGGUGGCGAGUGGCGGACGGGUGAGGAAUACAUCGGAAUCUACUUUUUCGUGGGGGAUAACGUAGGGAAACUUACGCUAAUACCGCAUACGACCUACGGGUGAAAGCAGGGGAUCUUCGGACCUUGCGCGAUUGAAUGAGCCGAUGUCGGAUUAGCUAGUUGGCGGGGUAAAGGCCCACCAAGGCGACGAUCCGUAGCUGGUCUGAGAGGAUGAUCAGCCACACUGGAACUGGGACACGGUCCAGACUCCUACGGGAGGCAGCAGUGGGGAAUAUUGGACAAUGGGCGCAAGACUGAUCCAGCCAUACCGCGUGGGUGAAGAAGGCCUUCGGGUUGUAAAGCCCUUUUGUUGGGAAAGAAAAGCAGCAGGUUAAUACCCCGCUGUUCUGACGGUACCCAAAGAAUAAGCACCGGCUAACUUCGUG
rnacentral:rRNA from 1 species